GCGCUCACUUAGGCAGCCUAUGUACCAAAGUUGGAAUAAUUAAGAGAAGGUUGGCAUGACCCCUCUGCUAUGCUGACAUGCAAAUUUGUGAAGCCUUGCUGUGUUUA
rnacentral:snRNA from 1 species